rnacentral:rRNA from 1 species
GAUCCUGGCGUCUAGGACGAACGCUGGCGGCGUGCUUAACACAUGCAAGUCGAACGAGAAUCUACAGAUCGAGGAUUCGUCCAAGAGAAGUAGAGGACAGUGGCGGACGGGUGAGUAACGCGUGAGGAACCUGCCUUUCAGAGGGGGACAACAGUUGGAAACGACUGCUAAUACCGCAUGACACAUUGGGGUCGCAUGGCCUUGAUGUCAAAGAUUUAUCGCUGAAAGAUGG